rnacentral:rRNA from 1 species
CUCAACAAUCGAAUUGCCUUUGAAACUGUGUGGCUCGAGUAUAGAUGAGGUAGGCGGAAUGUGUAGUGUANCGGUGAAAUGCAUAGAUAUUACACAGAACCCCAAUUGCGAAGGCAGCUUACCAAACUAUUACUGACGCUGAAGCACGAAAGCGUGGGUAGCGAACAGGAUUAGAUACCCUGGUAGUCCACGCCGUAAACUAUGCUCACUCGCUGUUGGCAAUAGAUCGUCAGCGGCUAAGGGAAACCGAUAAGUGAGCCACCUGGGGAGUACGAUCGCAAGAUUGAAGCUCAAAGGAAUUGACGGGGGCCCGCACAAGCGGAGGAACAUGUGGUUUAAUUCGAUGAUACGCGAGGAACCUUACCUGGGCUUAAAUGUAGAGUGCAUAAAGUGGAAACAUUUUUUUCCUUCGGGACUCUUUACAAGGUGCUGCAUGGUUGUCGUCAGCUCGUGCCGUGAGGUGUCGGGUUAAGUCCCAUAACGAGCGCAACCCCUAUCGUUAGUUACCAGCACGUAGUGGUGGGGACUCUAGCGAAACUGCCGGUGUAAACCGUGAGGAAGGUGGGGAUGACGUCAAAUCAGCACGGCCCUUAUGUCCAGGGCUACACACGUGUUACAAUGGUCGGUACAGUGGGCGGCCACAUAGCAAUAUGGAGCUAAUCUCAAAAGCCGAUCUCAGUUCGGAUUGGAGUCUGCAACCCGACUCCAUGAAGGUGGAUUCGCUAGUAAUCGCGCAUCAGCCAUGGCGCGGUGAUACGUUCCCGGGCCUGUACACACCGCCCGUCAAGCCAUGGAAGUUUGGGGUGCCUGAAGUUCGUAACCGCAAGGAGCGACCUAG